UUCAAUUUGGAAUGCGAUUUUGUUAAUAAAAAAAAUACUUAUAACUUAUGCAAAACCCAAGAGAGGCAUUUAUAUUUAUUUCUUUUGCGUUCAUUUUCAAAUUCGCCGUGCAUAUAUUUUUGUGCAUGGCGCUUGAGAGGGCAUCACGUGACUAAAAACGACCAACCAACGACCUCGCUUCGGCCAUCUUGGCAUCUUCAUCUUGGUCACCUUGCUUUGCCGUGGAUCGUUUGUAUUAUUUGUGCUUUUUAAGAAUAUUUUUUUAAUUCGGAUACUUUUAUAAUAGCUUUAAUAGUAUUAUUAACAUAGUGAAUAAAAUGGUGUCCUGUUUUUAACGCAGUUGGAGUAGCAGAAACAAAUGUAGAUAAAAAAAUCUGCAAGAAUAACGUUUCAAUUAUGACAGAAGCUCCAAACAAAUGACUGAAUGAAAAGCCCUAUUAAAAGCUUUCCAGAAGAUCCUGCGAAGAAGACAUGAAGUAUAGAUCAGAUUUGUUAAUAGAGGAGUAUGUUCAAAACACUUUUUAGAAAAAGAUAUUGACAGAACUUCACUUUCAUCUGUUCGUUUAAGAGACUGUGCUGUUCCAAUAGCUUAUGUCACACAGAAUCAGCUGAGAGAAGUGGUCUACAAAAAACCAGAAAGGAAACGGAAUAUGUGGCUACGCAAAGCAAAAGAAAGGUUUACAAAGCAAAUGUGACACAUUUUUUUAUAAUAUUUAGGAAUGUCAGUAAAUUACAUUAAAAAAUGUAUGUAAAGAUUUUUUGCAAUAAAAAUGUUUAUAUUUA